AUUGAACGCUGGCGGCAGGCCUAACACAUGCAAGUCGAACGGUAACAGGAAACAGCUUGCUGUUUCGCUGACGAGUGGCGGACGGGUGAGUAAUGUCUGGGAAACUGCCUGAUGGAGGGGGAUAACUACUGGAAACGGUAGCUAAUACCGCAUAACGUCGCAAGACCAAAGAGGGGGACCUUCGGGCCUCUUGCCAUCAGAUGUGCCCAGAUGGGAUUAGCUAGUAGGUGGGGUAACGGCUCACCUAGGCGACGAUCCCUAGCUGGUCUGAGAGGAUGACCAGCCACACUGGAACUGAGACACGGUCCAGACUCCUACGGGAGGCAGCAGUGGGGAAUAUUGCACAAUGGGCGCAAGCCUGAUGCAGCCAUGCCGCGUGUAUGAAGAAGGCCUUCGGGUUGUAAAGUACUUUCAGCGGGGAGGAAGGGAGUAAAGUUAAUACCUUUGCUCAUUGACGUUACCCGCAGAAGAAGCACCGGCUAACUCCGU
rnacentral:rRNA from 1 species